UCCGCACAUCCACCCAGCUCCACCCAGCGCCACUUCUCCACCGGCAGCCGACGCGCACCACCAGAUUUCCUCCCACGCCUCCGCCACAGGCCCAGCCAGGCCUCGCGCGUGCAGGCCGGCCGCCAGCCAGGAGCCCAUACACAGCCAGCCGCGCUGCAACAACGCCACGGCCUGUACGCCGCCUCCCACACCAUGCCCGAGCAAGCAAGUCCCCUCGACCCCGGCGCCUGCAGCUCCUCCUCGGCUCCCUGUCCGGCACUCGGCGCCGUCACCGGCUACCCCCUGCAACUCGAGCCGGAGCAUCACACGGGCGCCAUGAAUCUCCGACCCCGAUGCCCAAGCUCUCGCUGCUGUUCAGCGCCAGAUCCGCGCCGCCCACCCUCUCCGACCGUGUCGGGAGCCGCCGUCGCUGCCUGCUUCGUCUGGGCUUGGAGACGACGAACGCCAGGAGCACCCGCGACGUCCAGCGCUAAGUCCUGCUUGAUCGAGACCCUCAGCGCCACUAAGCAUCGGUCCCGCUGCCCCCGUUACCCCAGCCACCUACCGGAGAGAGAGGGCCUCCCCACCACCCAGUGCCACUCCUCCAUCCAGCGCCCACGAGCUGCCUUGCCCGAGUUCCUUCCUACCUGCUAAAGCCUGGUCGUGGUCCACCGCAGGCUACAACGGCCGCACGUGUUCCAGCCACCCAUGGCUCUGCUCUGCUUCCCCUCUUCCAUGAGGGUGGCACACGUCGGCGUGGUGGUGGGCGCGCAGCGGCAUGGGGGUGCCCGGCGGCACAUGGCGGCGUGGGGUGGGCCGGUGGCGCGUGGUGAGGCGGGGCGUGGUGUGGCAUGACAGGAGGUGGAGAUGGGAUAGGGAUUUGUUUGGAGGGGAUUGGGAGGUAGGUCGUGCGGUAGUACGGCGGGUUGUAUAUCCCAAACCACGACGGUGAACCCGGAGACCCAAUCCGUGCUUUAUUAUUAGGGAGAGACUAGUAAAAGUGCCCGUGCGUUGCAACGGGCGAACAACAAAAACUCACAAAAA